CAAGGUUGCAGAACAGAGCUUGUUAUUUUUUAAACUAUCCAAUGUACUAAGUUACCAUGCCUCUCUUGAAAACGGUUCCUAGCUUCAAAUAAUGCUUUGCCACACAUCAUCCAGAGGUCCAUCACCUAGCCUCACCUAGCCAGACAUUGCUGCCAUGGCUCAUGUUAACAGUUACCUUUCUAUUCUACUGCUAUUCUUUACUGAGGGGCUCUCUCAGCUGGUGAGAACACAGCAGUUUGUCACAGCAACCCUGGGAGAGGAUGCUCACUUCAGCUGCAGGCUCAUGAAACCCAAAGACGUGCUUCAAGUCACCUGGCAGAAAGUGACACCAGGGGGGACUGAAAAUGUGGCCACCUACAACAAUCGAUUUGGACCAGUAGUCAACCCACCUUUUCAGAGGAACGUGGAGUUUGAAGACGAGGGUCUGCAGAACUGCUCUAUCGUCAUCAGAGGAGUGUCAAGAGGAGACGAGUCCUGCUACAAGUGUCUGUUUAACGCCUAUCCAGAAGGAGCUAUCAGCGGCAGGACCUGCCUCCAAAUUAAUGAGCUGUAUGGACCCUCACUCCUCAUCACACAAACCAACAACAGUCACACCACUCUGUCCUGUUCUGCUACGGGACGACCUGCUCCUACAGUAACCUGGGACCACAUAGAAAACAUCAGUCUAGACAAAUCCAGCAUGGCUGAUGUCACCCAUUCCGAUGAAACAGUCACUGUCACCAUAACUGCCAUGGUGGCAGCGUCCAGUCUACCUGACAAAGACACCAGGGUUAGGUGUGUAGCGUCAUCCCGUGGUGCCGUCAAGGAGGUUUCCAUGGUGAUUCCAACUAGGGAUCAAGCUUCAUUUGCAGGUCAAUCUCAGGUCUCUGAUGAUGACAGGAUCAGUGGUGCAGUGGUUGGUGCAGUGAUGGGUUCAGUGCUGGUUUCAGUGUGUCUCAUUGCUGUAUUCUGUGUAAUAUGGCUGCAAAAGAGGAGAAAAGAUACCUCUUCCAGAAAACCCCCAGUUCCUGACCCUGAAAUCAGCCCAACUCCCUUAAAGACACCAGCAACAUCCAAACAUGUCACACCAACCUCCAGUCCAUCACAAAUGUCACACUUGUCAACCAGCUCAACAGUCAAGCGUAGGUUGACUAAGAACUCCAGUCCGUCACAAAUGAUACCAUCCCUCAGCUCGUCUGAGAAGCGCAGGAUACAACCAGCUCAGGAGGCUGUAAAGAAGUAGGUUUACAUCUUCAUUCAGCUCCUCAGCCAAGUGUAUGAUGCAACAAGCACAAGAUGUUGUAAAAUUAUCUCCUGAGAGACCAGAUGACCUGCAAUGUAGAAGGAAACUUUUAGAGGGUGAGGAGGACUGAGUGACUACCAUACUGUCUGUCACACAUCUGUGUGGUUCGGAGACUGUUUCUAUCCAUAGGCAUUGUGGGUACUGAAUAGUGGACUGAAUGGUUGACACACAGGCCUGCUGGUUAUUGUAUAUAUAGAUACAGUAUGUAUGUAAAUAUAUUUUGUAGUUGAUUAAUGAUGAAACAUGAUAAAUCCACACUACACUUGUUUUGUUUUAUUCUUCACUUUUUUAAAUAAAUCAAGUGUUGUGAUAUUAUAACCCACACAAUAUCAUAAUGUAGACUACUUUCAUGGUGUGUGUUGUUGUGUGUGUGUGUUGUUUACUUUCUUCACUCUUUAUAAAUCAAAUGCUGUAAGAUACACAAUGUUGUGAUGUCCUUUGUUGUCACUGUGUGUUUGUUUUCUACUUUUAUCAAUACAAUUUUAAAUAAUGUUGUAGUGUAUGUUGUGACAUCGCUUGUUAUACAAUGUGUCAUAAAUCUGCUGCUGGGAAUGCUUAAAAAAGGAA